AUGUGAUCUUUUAGUAUUAGAGAAAUUAGAGCAGCAGAGUUGCCCAGGGCUCCUCAGCAUCCACUGACCGCCCCCUAGGGAUAGAAAAACACUGUGCAUAGCAAAGU